UAGAACAUUACAAGUCUCGAGACCGCGAGUAGCGAGUUUGUCUUCACAUUACAAGUCGAUAUCGAUCAUCUAAACUACCAUCACAUAGAAGAGAGCUGCGGGCAUCACUACCAUCUGUGUGUGCGCUGCCAUCAUCAGUGGUGGCAUCCUCGGCGGCACCAUCAGUGGUGUCAUCCCCGACGUCACUAGGGGUUGUGUAGUCGGGAUCGGUGUCUUCCG
rnacentral:lncRNA from 1 species